rnacentral:rRNA from 1 species
CAGUCGCCGCGGUAAUACAGAGGGUGCGAGCGUUAAUCGGAUUUACUGGGCGUAAAGCGUGCGUAGGCGGCUUCUUAAGUCGGAUGUGAAAUCCCUGAGCUUAACUUAGGAAUUGCAUUCGAUACUGGGAAGCUAGAGUAUGGGAGAGGAUGGUAGAAUUCCAGGUGUAGCGGUGAAAUGCGUAGAGAUCUGGAGGAAUACCGAUGGCGAAGGCAGCCAUCUGGCCUAAUACUGACGCUGAGGUACGAAAGCAUUGGGAGCAAACAGGAUUAGAUACCCGAGUAGUCCCUGUCUCUUAUAC